rnacentral:lncRNA from 1 species
GGAGUCAGGUGCGAAGUCCGGCUCCUGUAGGAGUCCGGACGGAGCUUACCAGCAGUUGAAGUUGGUGACGGAGCCCGGCUCCCGUAGGAGUCCGGGCGGAGUCUUCCUGCAGUUAAAGUCAGGUGCGAAGUCCGGCUCCCGUAGGAGUCCGGAUGGAGCUUACCAGCAGUUGAAGUUGGUGAUGGAGCCCGGCUCCCGUAGGAGUCUAGGUGGGUCUUCCUAUAGC